rnacentral:rRNA from 1 species
GUGGAGGUAGAAGGCCCACGGAUCGUGAACUUCUUUUCCCGAAGAAGAAGCAAUGGCAAAAUCUGGGUAAUAAGCAUCGUCUAACUCUGUGCCAGCAGUCAUGGUAAGACAGAGGAUGC